rnacentral:rRNA from 1 species
AGAGUUUGAUCCUGGCUCAGGAUGAACGCUAGCGGCAGGCUUAAUACAUGCAAGUCGAACGGGAUUCGGAGUAGCAAUACUUUGAUGAGAGUGGCGCACGGGUGCGUAACGCGUAUGCAACCUACCUUUAACAGGGGAAUAGCCCCGAGAAAUCGGGAUUAAUACUCCGUAACAUUGCGGUGUGGCAUCACACUGCAAUUAAAGAUUUAU